rnacentral:rRNA from 1 species
UACAGAGGUCUCGAGCGUUAAUCGGAGUCACUGGGCUUAAAGGGUGCGUAGGCGGCGCCGCAAGUGCCUUGUGAAAUCCCACGGCUCAACCGUGGAAUUGCUCGGCAGACUGCGGCGCUUGAGGUCGGUAGGGGUCGCUGGAACUCUAGGUGGAGCGGUGAAAUGCGUAGAUAUCUAGAGGAACGCCAAAGGUGAAGACAGGCGACUGGGCCGAUUCUGACGCUGAGGCACGAAAGCGUGGGGGAGCGAACGGG